CCUAGUAACUGCGAGUGAAGAGGGAAAAGCUCAAAUUUAAAAUCUGGCAGCUUCGCUGUCCGAGUUGUAAUUUAGAGAAGUGUUACCCGCGUUGGACCGUGUACAAGUCUCCUGGAACGGAGCGUCAUAGAGGGUGAGAAUCCCGUCUUUGACACGGACUACCGAGGCUUUGUGGUACGCUCUCGAAGAGUCGAGUUGUUUGGGAAUGCAGCUCUAAAUGGGUGGUAAAUUCCAUCUAAAGCUAAAUAUUGGCGAGAGACCGAUAGCAAACAAGUACCGUGAGGGAAAGAUGAAAAGAACUUUGGAAAGAGAGUUAAACAGUACGUGAAAUUGUUGAAAGGGAAACGCUUAAAGUCCAGUCGCGUUGGUUAGGAAUCAGCCUUGGUUUUCCUUGGUGUACUUCCUGAUCGACGGGUCAACAUCAGUUUUGACCGUUGGAUAAAGGUCGAGGGAAUGUGGCACCUUCGGGUGUGUUAUAGCCCUUGAUUGUAUACAGCGGUUGGGACUGAGGAACUCAGCACGCCGAAAGGCCGGGUCUUGUACCACGUUCGUGCUUAGGAUGU
rnacentral:rRNA from 1 species